UACGUAGGGGGCAAGCGUUGUCCGGAAUCAUUGGGCGUAAAGCGCGUGUAGGCGGCUUGGUAAGUCCGCUCUGAAAGCCCGGGGCUCAACCCCGGGAGGCGGGUGGAUACUGUCAAGCUCGAGUCCGGAAGAGGCGAGUGGAAUUCCUGGCGUAGCGGUGAAAUGCGCAGAUAUCGGGAGGAACACCUGUGGCGAAGGCGGCCCCCUGGUUGGAUACUGACGCUGAGACGCGAAAGCGUGGGGAGCAAACAGG
rnacentral:rRNA from 1 species